AUUAAGUGCAGCGUAGCGGGCGCUAACCGACGUGCACAGGCAGCGGGCUGGGGCAGGGCCAGGGAGCCAGGAACAGGGCAGGAGAGCUGAGCUCUGCCCGCAGCCGCCCAAGAGGAGCUCUGCAGCCUGGGGAGAUCAGCUGCCUGCCUCUCUGAGACCACUGUAAACUGCAAGUUCCAAGAGGGCAAGGAUGCCUUGUUUAUGCCCAGAAUCUACCACAUACAUAUACUCCAUAACUAUUUGUGGAAAGAGUGAAUGAAGUUAUCCAUCAAGUUGAGACUGGGUGAUUUAAAAACAGAUUUUCGAGUACUCUGGUCACCAAAGACAUUGUACAGAAAUCGUUUCUGCAUGAGUGACGACACAAAUGCCAACGGCUGAAUACCAACUCACACUGGCUUGAACAUUCCUAACUGUGUGUCAAGAAUGCUCGUCCAGCAGGGGGUACAGCUGCCAAUAGCCCAAGAUCAUCCAAACGAAAGAGAGAACCUCUGUCUAUCUUACAUUUGGAGAAAUCUGGGAAAGGAUUCAAACUGGUCAGGGAAGCAACACGUGGAAGGAGCAGAAAAUCGUGGUCAGAUGAACAGUGCCCAGGACUGGCCGGGCCCCAGGACAGGUGCUGCAUGGGAUGUAGGAUGAGUCAGCCCUUUCGUCCAGGCAGUGUGGGAACAGGCCAGUGUGGCCUGGGGCCAUAUUGACGUCGGAGGGUCAGGAAAAAUCAGUCAUACGGAUCUCGUCUUUAUUUAAAAGUUUGAUAUCAUUUCUAUAUUUUGCAUUCAUUUUUAUUUAAAAAAUGUUUAUGUAAAAUAUUAUAUACUAUAAAUAUAAUAAAAUGGAG
rnacentral:lncRNA from 1 species